rnacentral:rRNA from 1 species
GACGAAGGAUUCAAGCGUUGUCCGGAUUUACUGGGUUUAAAGGGUGCGUAGGCGGACAUAUAAGUCAGUGGUGAAAUCCCGCAGCUCAACUGCGGAACUGCCAUUGAAACUGCAUUUCUUGAAUACGGUUGAGGUAGAUGGAAUGUAACAUGUAGCGGUGAAAUGCUUAGAUAUGUUACAGAACGCCGAUUGCGAAGGCAGUCUACUAAGCCGUUAUUGACGCUGAGGCACGAAAGCGUGGGGAGCAAACAGG